rnacentral:rRNA from 1 species
GAUGAACGCUGGCGGCGUGCCUAAUACAUGCAAGUCGAGCGAACAGAUGAGGAGCUUGCUCCUCUGACGUUAGCGGCGGACGGGUGAGUAACACGUGGAUAACCUACCUAUAAGACUGGGAUAACUUCGGGAAACCGGAGCUAAUACCGGAUAAUAUAUUGAACCGCAUGGUUCAAUAGUGAAAGACGGUUUUGCUGUCACUUAUAGAUGGAUCCGCGCCGCAUUAGCUAGUUGGUAAGGUAACGGCUUACCAAGGCAACGAUGCGUAGCCGACCUGAGAGGGUGAUCGGCCACACUGGAACUGAGACACGGUCCAGACUCCUACGGGAGGCAGCAGUAGGGAAUCUUCCGCAAUGGGCGAAAGCCUGACGGAGCAACGCCGCGUGAGUGAUGAAGGUCUUCGGAUCGUAAAACUCUGUUAUUGGGGAAGAACAAAUGUGUAAGUAACUAUGCACGUCUGGACGGUACCUAAUCAGAAAGCCACGGCUAACUACG